ACGCUCGACACCUACGAGAGGCAGCAGUUGGGAAUAUUGGACAAUGGAGGAAACUCUGAUCCAGUGACGCCGCGUGAAGGAAGAAGGUCUUCGGAUUGUAAACUUAUUUUGUCAGGGAAGAAAAAAUGACUGUACCUGAAGAAAAAGCACCGGCUAACUACGUGCCAGUAGCCGCGGUAAUCUGAGCGGGCUGGCAAGGC
rnacentral:rRNA from 1 species